rnacentral:misc_RNA from 1 species
AAGUCGUAACAAGGUUUCCGUAGGUGAACCUGCGGAAGGAUCAUUACAACGUAUCCAACGUAAACAAACGCGAACUUCCCUUUGGGUCACAGGACCAAAUGCAGGCCGCUGCUUUGGUUAUGAGGUUAGUUAGGCUGAACUGUUAACAGAGUGUUCCGUUGAUGGAGGUGUCUGGAGAAGUCCAGUCGCCUGGAGCACCAGUUCUUGGCCCGGAUCAGUUCUUCGCGAACGUGUCCGAACUUCGCCUGUCCCAAAGUGUAUCAACCAUCAGAUCUUAUUGUACCCUUUAUUAACCCUGUAAACUUUUGAACUGAACUCUGAGAGCAGUGCGGCAGUCCUUGUUGGCUUCGGUCACGGAUCGCUUAACGCAUUGUCUUUCUAAACUUUACGUAAUUAAGAACAACUCUUAACAACGGAUAUCUUGGCUCUC